UAGGGAAUCUUCCGCAAUGGGCGAAAGCCUGACGGAGCAACGCCGCGUGAGUGAUGAAGGUCUUCGGAUCGUAAAACUCUGUUAUUAGGGAAGAACAAAUGUGUAAGUAACUAUGCACGUCUUGACGGUACCUAAUCAGAAAGCCACGGCUAACUACGUGCCAGCAGCCGCGGUAAUACGUAGGUGGCAAGCGUUAUCCGGAAUUAUUGGGCGUAAAGCGCGCGUAGGCGGUUUUUUAAGUCUGAUGUGAAAGCCCACGGCUCAACCGUGGAGGGUCAUUGGAAACUGGACAACUUGAGUGCAGAAGAAGAAAGUGGAAUUCCGUGUAUAGCUGUGAAAUGCGCAGAGAUAUGGAGGAACACCAGUGGCGAAGGCGGCUUUCUGGUCUGUAACUGACGCUGAUGUGCGAAAGCGUGGGGAUCAAACAGG
rnacentral:rRNA from 1 species